ACGGGGUGCAGCAGGCGCGAAACCUUUGCAAUGUGCGAAAGCACGACAAGGUUAAUCCGAGUGUCUCCUGCUAAAGGAGUCUUUUGUCAGUUGUAGAAUCACUGAUGAAUAAGGGGUGGGCAAGUUCUGGUGUCAGCCGCCGCGGUAAAACCAGCACCUCGAGUGGUCAGGAGGUUUAUUGGGCCUAAAGCAUCCGUAGCCGGUUGCAUAAGUUUUCGGUUAAAUCUAUGCGCUCAACGUAUAGGCCGCCGAAAAUACUGUGCAGCUAGGGAGUGGGAGAGGUACACGGUACUCAAUAGGAAGGGGUAAAAUCCUUUGAUCUAUUGAUGACCACCUGUGGCGAAGGCGGUGUACCAGAACACGUUCGACGGUGAGGGAUGAAAGCUGGGGGAGCAAACCGGAUUAGAUACCCGGGUAGUCCCAGCUGUAAACGAUGCAGACUCGGUGAUGCAUUGGCUUGUGGCCAAUGCAGUGCCGCAGGGAAGCCGUUAAGUCUGCCGCCUGGGAAGUACGUACGCAAGUAUGAAACUUAAAGGAAUUCGCGGGGGAGCAC
rnacentral:rRNA from 2 species